CGCCGUGUCCCCAGUGCCCGGCUCAAAGAUGGCGCCCGCCGCGCGCGCAGCCUCAACGCGCCCUCUGCCAAGAUGGCGGCCGGAAAUGGCUUCAUCCUCCCGACGGAGAGGGCGGGCGGAGCUGUGAGGCGGAGCGGGGCGGGGUUUGCUGUGCUUUUGCUUCUCCGCACUUCAAAAAUCCUUCCAAAAGCCUCAGAAAUGGGGGUAAAGCUUUUCUCUGUGAAGCGAAUAGGAUCGUGGUUCUUCACCCUACUCUGCGCCCUCAGAAGUGAAGUUGGGAAAUCCCUGCGGGAUCAAGUUGUUUCUCGAUCCUCCAAAGCCCUCAGUGCCUCGGGCAGUCCUUCCUUGUCACCUCCAGGGAUGGAGGAGGACUCCAAACCUCUCCGGGCAGCCUCUUCCAAAGCCUGGCCACCCUUUCCAUGAUUAAAUUCCUCCCGAUGUCCCGAGAAUUGUCCCCAGUCCCUGCCAGAGCCCCCCUGCCCUCAGCUCCGGUGGUGCCGUCCUCUCCCUCACGCCGCCUCAGGGAUGAGAAUUCCAAACUGGAAGGGAAAGGACUCUGGGUUUGGAAGGAAAUCCCAACUCCACCAAGGCCAGCCAGGAAUGGGGAAAGGAGAAUCCCUGACCCAGCGCGGCCCCUCAGGACCCAGCAGCACCUUUUUGGUGGCAUUUGGGGGAUUUUACUUGGAGGUGGAGGGGCACGGUUACACGUGGGCACAUUUUAUUCUCUGGAUGCACUCGCAUUGUUUCUGCUCAACAGCCAAAGCUUUAUUGAUUCCAAACCGUUCCCCUUCUCCUUCUCCAUAUUUUUUUUUUGAACUGCACCACUUUUUCCCACCCCUCAACCACUCUGCUGCUUCCACUUUGGAAUAUUAUCUCUACUUGGAGUCUGUUUUCUCGGAAGAAGCCAACAGACAGUUCAUUCAGAUUAUUUAGUUGUUUUUUUUUCUCCCAAGAUCCAUAUAAAUUACAUGCAAAACAUUGUACAUAGAGAUUAAUAUCAAAAUGCAAUACAGAUCAGGUGCACUUUAAGCUGGACUCUAGGAUAUGGCAAACACACCAGGGUACAUAUUGCUUUGAAACCACCAUUGUUUUGUUUUUUAAUGUCAUGCAUACCACAUAAUAUUCAGUCUUUUGUUUUGUAUUUUGGUUUUUUUUUUUUCCUUUUUCCUCUCGUUUUUUAUAUAAAAAUACCAGUGCUUAUUAUACUGAGUUACUGGAAAAAAAAAAAAAAAAGAAAAACUCAGCUCCAUGUGCCCUCUUCAAAAGAAAGAUUUUUUUUUGUUUUGUGAGAGCAUUGGAUAAAUAUAUAUACACACACAUAAAUGUUGAGUUCAGACUGUAUAUAUAUAUAUUUAUUGAAGGGGAGGAAAGAAACUAAAGGCAGUUUUAGCCAUGGGCUUUGCUGGAUGAAAAUUGAGGGAUUUGGGGAGCAGGACAGGGCAGAGUCAGGGUGAGGGGGGAAUGCUGGAGAGGAAGAGGUGCCAAAAUCCCCCAGUUUGGGUGGAAAAGGAGCAGGAAAAAGCUCCCUCCACAUCCCUGUGCCCCAAGGGGAAAUCUGGGGGUGCAGAGGAGCGUUUUGAGGGCUCCAUGAGGGAUUGGGGAUGGAGCAGAAGCGAUGCAGGUCCAGGUGUCCCCAGAGAGGGACAAAAAAACCCUGCAGGGAUUUGGGGUCUGCGGUCCCAGAGGGUGACAGGAGCUGUGCUGGCACCUCGGGGAUGCCCCCCUGAAUUUGGGAUGGGGUUUUUUUUUAUCAGCCUUCCCCUCGGGUCACCCUCAGAGAGGGGCUGAGCCCUCCAGGCCCUGCAGGUGGGAAAAGCCGCCCAUGCUAAAAUGUGAUUUAGUUUGUUUCCUUCUUGAGAUCGGUGGGGAAGUUUCACUCGGAAGCUUUAUUGCACGGAAAAACCUUUCGGGGAGGGGGAAAAAAAAGGAAAUAAAACCUGAAAUUAACCUCCCUCCCCA
ensembl:lncRNA